rnacentral:lncRNA from 1 species
GCCUCAGAUGCUGAAGAUGAUAUCAAUAAGUUAAAAAAGGACAAGCUUGGCAUUCAGAAGUAUUGUGUAGAAGAGACAGAGGCACACUUGCUUCAGAGCCGGGGAUUAGGAAAUCUGCUUCUCCUGGGCUGCAUCCUCCAGCCACUGUUACUAGACCUGCAGCAGUUUGCAUGGAGCACCUGCAGAGAUGACCCAGUGACUCUGAGACAAGGAACCUGGUUUAUGGACGAUGUCCCAGCUCCUAACUGGAAAGCACAGUUGAAAUCACCACUGCCCCUUCCAGCUGCUGCCGUGUUGUCAGCGAGUUUGGCAGAAAUGCUUGUGCAACAUUUACUCUUAGUACAUGUCACAGAGACCUAGGCAUAAAGGCCUAAAAUAGGCAGGCCUUGAGAGCAGUAACUUCAUUGUCCUGCCUGGAUAGUUGAGCCUACCUGGAA